UGGCAAUGGUUCAGACACUUCCUCAAUAAAUCCUUGAAUCUCUCCUAGGCUUCAUAAAAAGAUUCGUUGUCAUGCUGGGUAAAGUUGUUAAUUUCAGCUCUCAGCUU